UACGAAGGGGGCUAGCGUUGCUCGGAAUCACUGGGCGUAAAGCGCACGUAGGCGGAUUGCUAAGUCAGGGGUGAAAUCCUGGAGCUCAACUCCAGAACUGCCCUUGAUACUGGCGGCCUCGAGUCCGGGAGAGGUGAGUGGAACUGCGAGUGUAGAGGUGAAAUUCGUAGAUAUUCGCAAGAACACCAGUGGCGAAGGCGGCUCACUGGCCCGGUACUGACGCUGAGGUGCGAAAGCGUGGGGAGCAAACAGG
rnacentral:rRNA from 1 species